GGUCGAUUAGCUCAGUUGGUUAGAGCGUGGUGCUAAUAUCUUCGAAUGAUAACGCCAAGGCCAUGGGUUCGACCCCCAUAUUGACCA